rnacentral:rRNA from 1 species
AGUGAACGCUGGCGGUAGGCCUAACACAUGCAAGUCGAACGGCAGCACAGUAAGAGCUUGCUCUUACGGGUGGCGAGUGGCGGACGGGAGAGGAAUACAUCGGAAUCUACUUUUUCGUGGGGGAUAACGUAGGGAAACUUACGCUAAUACCGCAUACGAUCUACGGUUGAAAGCAGUGGAUCUUCGCACCUUGCGCGAUUGAAUGAGCCGAUGUCGGAUUAGCUAGUUGGGGGGGUAAAGGCCCACCAAGGCGACGAUCCGUAGCUGGUCUGAGAGGAUGAUCAGCCACACUGGAACUGGAACACGGUCCAGACUCCUACGGGAGGCAGCAGUGGGGAAUAUUGGACAACAGGCGCAAGCCUGAUCCAGCCAUACGGCGUGGGUGAAGAAGGCCUUCGGGUUGUAAAGCCCUUUUGUUGGGAAGGAAAAGCAGCAGGUUGAUACCCCGCUGUUCUGACGGUACCCGAAGAAUAAGCACCGGCUAACUUCGUG